GCAUCAGUGCACCCCCUCAGCACCUGGACACCACUCCAGAGACUUCUGAGCAGAGGCUGACAGCGCAGGGGGGCUUACUAGCUGCCUUUCAUGCUGGCCGUGGUGGGUGAGCUGUCCAGCUCUCCUCUCCCAGAUCUUCCAGGGGCCAGCAGGCUUCCUCUAGCCACAGGGCCUGGGGGCACUUCAGUCUACCAGGGCAGAUGCUUGCCAGGCCCAUGGGGACCAGCAGGCUCCCGCAGGCCCUCCCAAAGCCACAUGCAGCAGUGCGGCUGGCAAGCCCCACUUGGGGGAGACCCUGCUGUUGCUGGCCAGGCCUGUGG
rnacentral:lncRNA from 1 species